UACGUAGGGUGCAAGCGUUUAAUCGGAAUUACUGGGCGUAAAGCGUGCGCAGGCGGUUAUGUAAGACAGUUGUGAAAUCCCCGGGCUCAACCUGGGAACUGCAUCUGUGACUGCAUAGCUAGAGUACGGUAGAGGGGAUGGAAUUCCGCGUGUAGCAGUGAAUGCGUAGAUAUGCGGAGGAACACCGAUGGCGAAGGCAAUCCCCUGGACCUGUACUGACGCUCAUGCACGAAAGCGUGGGAGCAAACAGG
rnacentral:rRNA from 1 species